rnacentral:rRNA from 1 species
AGUGAACGCUGGCGGCGUGCUUAACACAUGCAAGUCGAACGAGAACGGAUUAUAGCUUGCUAUAAUUGUCAGCUAAGUGGCGCACGGGUGAGUAAUGUAUAGGUAAUAUGCCUCUUACUAAGGGAUAACAAAUGGAAACGUUUGCUAAUACCUUAUACUCCUUAUUAACAGAAGUUAAUAAGGGAAAGAUUUAUUGGUAAGAGAUUAGCCUGUAUUGUAUCAGUUAGUUGGUGGGGUAAUGGCUUACCAGGACUAUGACACAUAACUGGUUUGAGAGGAUGAUCCGUCACACUGGAACUGAGACACGGUCCAGACUCCUACGGGAGGCAGCAGUGGGGAAUAUUGCACAAUGGACGAAAGUCUGAUGCAGCAACGCCGCGUGGAGGAUGACACAUUUCGGUGCGUAAACUCCUUUUAUAUGAGAAGAUAAUGACGGUAUUAUAUGAAUAAGCAACGGCUAACUCCGUGCCAGCCGCCGCGGUAA